rnacentral:rRNA from 1 species
AUUGAACGCUGGCGGCAGGCCUAACACAUGCAAGUCGAGCGGAUGGGCAGCCGGGUGAGGAAUGCCUAGGAAUCGGCAUGGUAGUGGGGGAGAACGUCAGGAAACGGACGCUGAUACCGCUUACUUUCAGAUGCGCCUAGAUGGGAUUAGCGAGUUGGUGUGGGAAAGGCCUACCAAGGCGACGAUCCGUAACUGGUCUGAGAGGAUGAGCAGCCACACUGGAACGGAGACACGGUCCAGACUCCUACGGGAGGCAGCAGUGGGGAAUAUUGGACAAUGGGCGAAAGCCUGAUCCAGCCAUGCCGCGUGUGUGAAGAAGGUCUUCGGAUUGUAAAGCACUUUAAGUUGGGAGGCGUUACCAACAGAAUAAGCACCGGCUAACUUCGUGCCAGCAGCCGCGGUAAUAC